AGUGAACGCUGGCGGUAGGCCUAACACAUGCAAGUCGAACGGCAGCACAGUAAGAGCUUGCUCUUACGGGUGGCGAGUGGCGGACGGGUGAGGAAUACAUCGGAAUCUACUUUUUCGUGGGGGAUAACGUAGGGAAACUUACGCUAAUACCGCAUACGACCUACGGGUGAAAGCAGGGGAUCUUCGGACCUUGCCCGACUGAAUGAGCCGGUGUCGGAUUAGCUAGUUGGCGGGGUAAGGGCCCACCAAGGCGACGAACCGUAGCUGGUCUGAGAGGAUGAUCAGCCACACUGGAACUGAGACACGGUCCAGACUCCUACGGGAGGCAGCAGUGGGGAAUAUUGGACAAUGGGCGCAAGCCUGAUCCAGCCAUACCGCGUGGGUGAAGAAGGCCUUCGGGUUGUAAAGCCCUUUUGUUGGGAAAGAAAAGCAGCAGGUUAAUACCCCGCUGUUCUGACGGUACCCAAAGAAUAAGCACCGGCUAACUUCGUG
rnacentral:rRNA from 1 species